rnacentral:lncRNA from 1 species
GGCCUUCGUUAAAUUAAAAAAAAGGUGAUUCUAUUUCUUGAAGCUCCCGACUGCUCAUGUACUAUUUCACAUUGCCAUCUUCCAUUACAAUUUCGUUCACGGUAACAUUGAGAAUCCUACAACAUUAGUGGUGUGAGAUAUUUUGUAAGUGUUAUAGUGAUGUGCAUUUUUGUAGGUUUGUAGUUUUGUGACUCCAUUUGGUUUUAUAAGUGUGAUUCACCAAUACAAUUCGAAUGUGAAUUGCUUGCAGUUUUGUAUAAGACUAUUUGGUUUGUCCUGCUAACUCCGCCACACCUCAGUUUUGGUCCUAGGUAAGCCGCUGCGUGUAUGACGGCCUAAGAUGCCAUGGCCGGCGUGGUGUGAUGGUGGUUUACAGCGGAUCAAGAUUGUUGGCAAGGACUUCCCACUGAGUAUGAGAGGCCGGUGACCAUCCGUCCAUGAUUCUUCCUCGGUAUGCCACUCUGAGGAUGUCGAGGCCUUCCCAAUGAGUAUUUCAGUUCCCGAAGUCUCUCUUUCUGAUGGCAAGGUAAAGUUUAGUUCGUUGGUGACCAUGUUCAUUAAAUAUUCUUGUCAGAGUCCUCGAUUCCAAGCUUACAUUAUAAUGCAUUUUAGCCCAGAGAUACGAUUUUCACCAUGUGUCUGUUGUAGCCAAGGCCAUACAUCGCCUCCUACCGUGAGUAAAUUUGAAACCCCAUAUCCAUAAAAUGUUGUACUCACUUGGCAAUCCCAGAUCUGUUCUGGACUCUUGGUAUUCAGUCUAAAUUAUAAGCAGGCAUGAUGCUCAAUAUUGUAGCAAUGAACAUCAGGGCGCGUACUAAGUUCCAACUAAGAAAGUUCAGUUUGGCUAUUUGCCUUUUUUUACAUAGAUUAGAAUGAGUAGCUGCAAAAGAGUUCUGUCAUUUUGAGUUUUUGUGUAAGAGAAGGUACCAUCAACAAUCACGCAUAAUAUAAUAUGGAUAGCUUCAAACAUGUAGCUAUCCCAUGGGCUUGAGUUAUAUUACCGAAGCGGGGAUCUGUAUGUAUAAGUGUAAAGAUGUCCUAUAGUCAUUUUUUUGUAUGAUUUUCUAAGUGUUGCCUUUGUUGUCUUUACCUAAUGAUAACCCGCUAGCAAAUAGGUUGUCAGAAUCGCGAUUCUGUUAUACGAUUCUACGACUUUACGAUCCAAACUAACCCCUAUGAUUCUACGAUUUUAGUUCUUAGAAUCUACGUUUCUACGAUCCUGCUAGUGAAGAUUCUACGAUUUGCGAUCCUACCAUCGAAGCUCCGAUCCGAUUCAAGAUCGCGAUUCUGACAACCUUAGAAGUAAAUAAUUUGUUCCUUAUCUUAGCACCUAAUUUGCCUGCAUUAUGUUGUUAAUAGUAGCAUUUUUUGUUCAAAUUUUCAUCCUGUUGCGAAUCUGCAUGCCUUGUUUCUAAUUAUUUAAGUUCAGACUGUCCCUUCAAACGCCAUGAGUCAAGUCUAGGAUAUGUCAGCAUGAUGCUUCCACUCCCAACAUGAGACCAGAUUCUUUUAAUUUCGGGUAGGAAACUAUCAUGGUUAUUAUUUUACUCUCUGGAUGUUGCACAAAUGCUUGAACAAUUUCCUUGUAGAUUUCAGUGUAGUGGUUGCAAAAGUGUUGAUGGAAAUGGCUUAUUGAGUUGCCAAUUUUUAAUUGCAGGGACUGGUGAAGCACAAACAUGCGACAUGGCUUGGAGUAGACACCAACUCCAUGGUUCCAUUCUGCAAGAUGUGGCUUGGAUUACCGUGCUGCUGAGAACAGUGGCUGCGCUUGGUUUUGAAAUUGGGAAGGUUUAAUUCAAGAUUUUUAUAUCUUCCCCCUGUUUUUGUAUGGACAAUGUGUGUGCUGUUUAUAAAAUGUUUAGUUAUGUUUGGCUGAUGAGUAUAAACUCUUUUCUCUGCAUGUUUACCAUGAAUGAUGAAACACACAUCAGUUGGCUCACUUGAGUUCCUGUGCUAACUGAUAAUCCAUGCAGUCUCUUAUUCUGUAUGCUAUACAAGUUUGUUUUAGCGUCAUAUUGACUAGCAUUUAGAUAAUGUCAAACCAUGUCAAAUGAUGGGGUUGUGUGAAGCGGAGGUUACUUCUAUUUUAUCACGUCGCAUGUGAAGCUUAUGCAAGGACAUGCCAUUUUAGGUACUUUGCAUGAGAAUGCAAGAGCUCUGCUUUUG